rnacentral:misc_RNA from 1 species
GAUGAAGAACGUAGCGAAAUGCGAUACUUGGUGUGAAUUGCAGAAUCGCGUGAACCAUCGAGUCUUUGAACGCAAGUUGCGCCCGAAGCCAUUAGGCCGAGGGCACGCCUGCCUGGGCGUCACACGUCGUUGCCCCCCCAUCUACUCCUUCGGGAUUGCGGGGGGCGGAUGAUGGCCUCCCGUGCGCCUCGUCGCGCGGUUGGCAUAAAUGCCAAGUCCUCGGCGACGCACGCCACGACAAUCGGUGGUUGCGAAACCUCGGUUGCCCGUCGUGUGCGGUCGUCGCGCAUCGAGGGCUCGAAAAAAUUGUCGGGCUCUGUUUCGGCUUUCAACGCGACCCCAGGUCAGGCGGGGUUACCCGCUGAAUUUAAGCAUAUCAAUAAGCGGAGGA